CCCUAAACGAUGGGUACUAAGUGUGGAGGGGUUAAACCCUCCGUGCCGCAGCAAACGCAGUAAGUACCCCGCCUGGGGAGUGCGGCCGCAAGGUUGAAACUCAAAGGAAUUGACGGGGGCCCGCACAAGCGGUGGUGCCUGUGGUUUAAUUCGACGCAACGCGAGGAACCUUACCCAGGCUUGACAUGUGGUCAGUAGCGAACCGAAAGGGGAGCGACCCGUCAAAUCGGGCAAUCACACAGGUGCUGCAUGGCUGUCGUCAGCUCGUGCCAUGAGGAGUUGGGUUCAGUCCCGCAACGAGCGCAACCCUCGCCCUUUGUUGCCAUCGGGUAAAGCCGGGCACUCUAAGGGGACUGCCAGCGACAAGUUGGAGGAAGGAGAGGAUGACGUCAAGUCAUCAUGGCCUUUAUGCCUAGGGCCACACACGUGCAACAAUGGCCGGUACAGACGGAGGCAAUGCCGAGAGGCGGAGCAAACCCGAGAAAACCGGUCCCAGUUCGGAUUGAGGUCUGCAACUCGACCUCAUGAAGUCGGAAUCG
rnacentral:rRNA from 1 species